rnacentral:lncRNA from 1 species
AUGGUAUUUGGGAUAUUUGGAGUUUUUGGGCUAUUUGAGGUGUUUGGGGUGUUUGGGGUAUUUGGAGUUUUUUGGGUAUUUGGGGUGUUUGGGGUAUUUGGAGUUUUUGGGGUAUUUGGGAUAUUUGGAGUGUUUGGGAUAUUUGGGAUAUUUGGAGUGUUUGGGGUAUUUGGGGUGUUUAUGGUAUUUGGGGUGUUUGGGAUAUCUGUGGUGUUUGGGGUGUUUGGGGUAUUUGGGGUGUUUGGGGUAUUUGGGAUAUUUGGGGUGUUUGGGGUAUUUGGGAUAUUUGGAGUUUUUGGGGUAUUUGGGGAGUUUGGGAUAUCUGGGGUGUUUAUGGUAUUUGGGAUUUUGGGGUAUUUGGGAUAUUUGGAGUGUUUGGGAUUUUUGGAGUGUUUGGGGUAUUUGGGGUGUUUAUGGUAUUUGGGAUAUUUGGAGUUUUUGGGGUGUUUAUGGUAUUUGGGGUAUUUGGGGUGUUUGGGAUAUUUGGGGUGUUUGGGAUAUUUGGAGUGUUUGGGGUAUUUGGGGUGUUUAUGGUGUUUAGGGUGUUUGGGGUGUUUGGGGUAUUUGGGAUAUUUGGAAUGUUUGGGGUGUUUGGGGUAUUUGGGAUAUUUGGAGUGUUGGGGAUGUUUGGGAUAUUUGGGAUAUUUGGAGUGUUUGGGGUGUUUGGGGUAUUUGCAGUGUUUGGGGUAUUUGGGAUAUUUGGGUUGUUUAUGGUAUUUGGAGUGUUUGGGGUAUUUGAGGUGUUUGGGGUGUUUGGGGUAUUUGGGAUAUUUGGAGUGUUUGGGGUAUUUGAGGUGUUUGGGGUGUUUGGGGUAUUUGGGGUGUUGGGAUAUUUGGGAUAUUUGGAGUUUUUGGGAUAUUUGGGGUAUUUGGAGUUUUUUGGGGUGUUUGGGGUAUUUGGGGUGUUGGGGGCACACCUGGGGGCGCAGCAGGAGGAACCCCCCGUCCCCCCUGGCAGCACAAGCUGUUCCCCUGUCCCUCCACUCCCAAAAUAUCCCUGAGCAGAGGGGAUUUUCCAGCGAUCCCCCCUAA